AACUUUUAACAAUGGAUCUCUAGGCUCUCACAUCGAUGAAGAACACAGUGAAAUGUGAUAAGUAAUGUGAAUUGCAGAAUUCAGUGAAUCAUCAAAUCUUUGAACGCACAUUGCGCCUCUCUGGAUUUUUCCAAGAGGCACACCUGUUUGAGUGUCAUGAAAUACUAUACUCAUAACUUCUUUUAUUUUCUCAACACCCAACUGGGUGCGGGGAAAAGAGGAAGUUGUGGAUGAUGAGUGUAGCUGUGUGAUGUGGCUCACUUU
rnacentral:rRNA from 1 species